UCUCCGUAGGUGAACCUGCGGAGGGAUCAUUACAGAGUUCAUGCCGUACCGGGUAGAUCUCCCACCCUAUGUUACUAUUACUUUGUUGCUUUGGCGGGCCGUUAGGCUCCGGCCCGACUACCGGCCCCGGCUGGUAAGCGCCCGCCAGAGGACCCAAAACCCUGAAUAUUAGUGUCGUCUGAGUACUAUAUAAUAGUUAAAACUUUCAACAACGGAUCUCUUGGUUCUG
rnacentral:misc_RNA from 1 species